rnacentral:lncRNA from 1 species
AACAAAACAACACAUACCCAGUUGGUCUCCAACCUUGAAGGUUUGGCCUGAAGCCCAUGAGUUGAGAUCGACGGAUUCUUCCCACCCUUGGCUACCCCCAACAGCGUGUUGGGCUCCAUACACUCCUUUUGUUGUAAUAACAAAGGCAACAAGGGCCAACACCAAUGAAGAAACUCUGUGCGCUCCCUUCAUUCUCACUGUCUUCACUCCACUUUUUCUGUCAUGUUCUUCGUAAUCCCCACUAUAUAUAAUGCUGCAAUACACAGAAAAAUAUAAUAUGUCCAUAUAAACUCACUGUCAAUGUCCCUAUCUUUAGUUUAGUUAAUAUGUCUACCGAUGAUGUGAUAUAUGAUCUAGAAUACUUACGACCCAUGAUACUUUCUCAACAAGCCUGCAAUAUUAUACUACAUUGGCCUUUGGAUAACAGUCUUUGAGUUGGGAUUUUGAGGUGAAAGAGGGGCAAAGUGUUUGGAUGUCUGAGUUUCUUAAUUGCCCAUGAAGCAAACAUUGGUUGGUUAAAGGUCUCGGAAGCUUUGAGUUGAAACUAAGAUAUGUUGAUGGACAUUCUAGGAGAUAUCAUCAUUGUCCAGGGAGCUUAGACAUUGUAUUUUGAUAUAUCAGAUAUGGAGGAAUCUUAAGACAACCUGAAUUGCUAAUGAAGUUUGGUGACUUGUUACUUAUCAUUAGCCCAAUAAGCUAGCUUUCUGGUCAAUAAAUUACGGCCUCAUCAUAAAGUAGAU